rnacentral:rRNA from 2 species
UGUGGCGAUGAUGGCAAGAAGGAUACACCUGUUCCCAUGCCGAACACAGAAGUUAAGCUUCUUAGCGCCGAUGGUAGUUGGGGGUUUCCCCCUGUGAGAGUAGGACGUCGCCACGC